UGGCUAAGGAAAAGAAAGCAGCACCGUAACACACCCAACAGGAACUGGGGUCACUGUGACGAGGGGCACAGAACUUGUGGUCUCCCUAUGAGCAAGUUCCCUACAUGU
ensembl:snoRNA